rnacentral:rRNA from 1 species
CCUACGGGAGGCAGCAGUGAGGAAUAUUGGGCAAUGGAGGAAACUCUGACCCAGCCAUGCCGCGUGCAGGAAGACGGCCCUCUGGGUUGUAAACUGCUUUUAUAUGGGAAUAAACCCUUCCACGUGUGGAAGGCUGAAGGUACCAUACGAAUAAGGAUCGGCUAACUCCGUGCCAGCAGCCGCGGUAAUACGGAGGAUCCAAGCGUUAUCCGGAUUUAUUGGGUUUAAAGGGUCCGUAGGCGGGUCUUUAAGUCAGUGGUGAAAGCCUGCAGCUUAACUGUAGAAUUGCCAUUGAUACUGAAGACCUUGAGUGUAGUAGAAGUAGGCGGAAUAUGGCAUGUAGCGGUGAAAUGCAUAGAUAUGCCAUAGAACACCGAUUGCGAAGGCAGCUUACUAUGUUACAACUGACGCUGAGGGACGAAAGCGUGGGUAGCAAACAGGAUUAGAUACCCUGGUAGUCCACGCCGUAAACGAUGAUUACUCGCUGUUAGCGAUAUACAGUUAGCGGCCAAGCGAAAGCAUUAAGUAAUCCACCUGGGGAGUACGCCGGCAACGGUGAAACUCAAAGGAAUUGACGG